CUUGAAUUAAAAAAAUAUUACUUUUGAAGGAAAGGGGAUGCAGAAGAUGAAAUCCUCCCCAUGAAAGUUUAUUCGGGAACAAGCGGCCUAGCCGUAAAAGGCACGCAUUCCACAAACAAUAAUCACCUCUUCUUAUUCAUCUAAAGUGAAAAGGAUGAUACGAAAAUACAUGCGAUAGACCUCAAUCCUCCCCUCAAAGGGGCCCGUCAAAUCACAAGAAAAAGUAAAGAAAGGCAAAUAAAAUAAAGAACAAAAUAAAUGAGAGCUAUUACACCGAUAAGAACAACCCCAACUACGUAGGAUCCGGAGCAAGAAAUCCAAAUCAACGGUUCCUCUAGAGAAGCAUCACAACGGCCCCAACCGACGCUAGCACUCCCAUGCUGACGCCAUGCACGAUGGAACCCGAAUCAGCCGUAGCGGACGCCGCGGGCUCCGCCGCCGGAGUUAGCGAUGCCGGACCAGGGGAAGCCAAGGGGGCCGAACUCUUCGAUGGAGUCGGUGCGGCGGUGGUUGGAGCCGCCGCCUUCAGAGAUGGCGAGGGAGCAGGCGUGGCAGCGGGUGGAGAUGCAGGGGGAACUGGAGCCGGUGGUGGUGCCAUCGGUGNNNNNNNNNNNNNNNNNNNNNNNNNN
rnacentral:lncRNA from 1 species